GGAGGAGUGGGCGGGGCGGUGGUGGUCAAGGGCGGUCUGGGGCGGCCCCGCGUGAGGGACGCGGUCAGUCUGGGUGGGGCGGAGUCUGGGCCAGGUGGACCGGACGGGCCACCAGAGGACCCUCCGCAGCUCAGUGGGGGACGAUCCCUGCUCCCUCGGUAUGCUGUCAGCAUCAUCCAAAGAUGUGGCCUGCCCUCUACUAUUGCAUGGCCAGAAAGACUGGCAUUGCGCGAUGAAAAAGAGAGCCGUGGCCGGAGCUAGGGCAACGCCUUUCCUCUGGAGCGACCCCUCCCCUCCCCUUGUGGGUGUGUGACCAGCAGGAGUCUUACCCUUAAUGCGCUGGGACCCAGGGAGCAAAUUUAGUUGAAAAGGCAGUUCCUCAGAAUUCUGCCCGAUGUCUGACUUUGCUCUGUCAACAAAUCAACUUCUUUGAAAAGUCCUGUCCACUGGUAGAUAUGAACCCCAGAGAUACCCUGGCCACCCAUCACUGGAUGACUUCAGCCCCUCUGUUUAUUCCAAUUCAUUCCCUCUUCACCCAGGGCCUUGGGAGCGCUGGUGGCCUCUCGAUGAGUGCCGGGAAGGCCUCGGCAAAGUUACUUCUAGACGCGCUUUCUUCAGAAGCAGCACUAGCUCAUCUUUUCCUAGUGACGCAGGUUAAGUUGUGAACACAGAAGGCUCCAGAAGAAAUGAUUGCAGACAAGGAGGCUGGAGUGGAAGUUGAUCAGGGUGAGAUUGAGAGACAGAAUACAAGCAGGGGAGGAACAGAGAG